rnacentral:rRNA from 1 species
ACAGGGAUUGCCCUAGUAACGGCGAGUGAAGCGGCAACAGCUCAAAUUUGAAAUCUGGCUCUCGGGCCCGAGUUGUAAUUUGUAGAGGAUACUUUUGAUGCGGUGCCUUCCGAGUUCCCUGGAACGGGACGCCAUAGAGGGUGAGAGCCCCGUCUGGUUGGAUGCCAAAUCUCUGUAAAGUUCCUUCAACGAGUCGAGUAGUUUGGGAAUGCUGCUCUAAAUGGGAGGUAUAUGUCUUCUAAAGCUAAAUACCGGCCAGAGACCGAUAGCGCACAAGUAGAGUGAUCGAAAGAUGAAAAGCACUUUGAAAAGAGAGUUAAAAAGUACGUGAAAUUGUUGAAAGGGAAGCGUUUAUGACCAGACUUGGGCUUGGUUAAUCAUCUGGGGUUCUCCCCAGUGCACUUUUCCAGUCCAGGCCAGCAUCAGUUUUCCCCGGGGGAUAAAGGCGGCGGGAAUGUGGCUCUCUUCGGGGAGUGUUAUAGCCCACCGUGUAAUACCCUGGGGGGGACUGAGGUUCGCGCAUCUGCAAGGAUGCUGGCGUAAUGGUCAUCAACGACCCGUCUUGAAACACGGACCAAGGAGUCGUCUUCGUAUGCGAGUGUUCGGGUGUCAAACCCCUACGCGUAAUGAAAGUGAACGCAGGUGAGAGCUUCGGCGCAUCAUCGACCGAUCCUGAUGUUCUCGGAUGGAUUUGAGUAAGAGCAUACGGGGCCGGACCCGAAAGAAGGUGAACUAUGCCUGUAUAGGGUGAAGCCAGAGGAAACUCUGGUGGAGGCUCGCAGCGGUUCUGACGUGCAAAUCGAUCGUCAAAUAUGGGCAUGGGGGCGAAAGACUAAUCGAACCUUCUAGUAGCUGGUUUCCGCCGAAGUUUCCCUCAGGAUAGCAGUGUUGAACUCAGUUUUAUGAGGUAAAGCGAAUGAUUAGGGACUCGGGGGCGCUAUUUAGCCUUCAUCCAUUCUCAAACUUUAAAUAUGUAAGAAGCUCUUGUUGCUUAAUUGAACGUGAGCAUUCGAAUGUAUCAACACUAGUGGGCCAUUUUUGGUAAGCAGAACUGGCGAUGCGGGAUGAACCGAACGCGAGGUUAAGGUGCCAGAGUAGACGCUCAUCAGACACCACAAAAGGUGUUAGUACAUCUUGACAGCAGGACGGUGGCCAUGGAAGUCGGAAUCCGCUAAGGACUGUGUAACAACUCACCUGCCGAAUGUACUAGCCCUGAAAAUGGAUGGCGCUCAAGCGUCUCACCCAUACCUCGCCCUCAGGGUAGAAACGAUGCCCUGAGGAGUAGGCGGACGUGGAGGUCAGUGACGAAGCCUAGGGCG